GAUGAACGCUGGCGGCGUGCCUAAUACAUGCAAGUCGAGCGAACAGACGAGGAGCUUGCUCCUCUGACGUUAGCGGCGGACGGGUGAGUAACACGUGGAUAACCUACCUAUAAGACUGGGAUAACUUCGGGAAACCGGAGCUAAUACCGGAUACUAUAUUGAACCGCAUGGUUCAAUAGUGAAAGACGGUUUUGCUGUCACUUAUAGAUGGAUCCGCGCCGCAUUAGCUAGUUGGUAAGGUAACGGCUUACCAAGGCAACGAUGCGUAGCCGACCUGAGAGGGUGAUCGGCCACACUGGAACUGAGACACGGUCCAGACUCCUACGGGAGGCAGCAGUAGGGAAUCGUCCGCAAUGGGCGAAAGCCUGACGGAGCAACGCCGCGUGAGUGAUGAAGGUCUUCGGAUCGUAAAACUCUGUUAUUAGGGAAGAACAAAUGUGUAAGUAACUAUGCACGUCUUGACGGUACCUAAUCAGAAAGCCACGGCUAACUACGUG
rnacentral:rRNA from 1 species